AGANCGUUAGCUCAGUUGGUAGAGCAGUUGGCUUUUAACCAAUUGGUCGUAGGUUCGAAUCCCACACGACCCACCA
rnacentral:tRNA from 1 species